rnacentral:rRNA from 1 species
CAGUAGCCGCGGUAAUACGUAGGUGGCAAGCGUUGUCCGGAAUUAUUGGGCGUAAAGCGCGCGCAGGCGGAUCAGUUAGUCUGUCUUAAAAGUUCGGGGCUUAACCCCGUGAGGGGAUGGAAACUGCUGAUCUAGAGUAUCGGAGAGGAAAGUGGAAUUCCUAGUGUAGCGGUGAAAUGCGUAGAUAUUGGGAGGAACACCAACGGCGAAAGCACUCUGCUGGGCCGACACUGACACUGAGAGACGAAAGCUAGGGGAGCAAAUGGGAUUAGAUACCCGAGUAGUCCCUGUCUCUUAUACA